CCGGAAGCAAUGGUGAUGACAAACUUCACUGGAACUGGUAUCGGUGUUGGUGCUGGCAUUGGUUGCGGAUUCGGUGUAGGAUGGGGUUUCGGAGGCAUGCCUUUGAAUUUCUUGGGUCUUGGUGUAGGUGGUGGCUGUGGGAUCGGAGUAGGCCUCGGAUGGGGAUUUGGCUCUGCCUUUGGUAGCCAGUACAGGAACUCUAGAGUUACAUUUGACGGCACAGAUUUUAUCAAUAAGGAGCGUAGUGAAGAAAGAGAUUUAAAAGAUCCAGCCAAAGGCACUGGAAAAGCUCUUUCUUCUCAGUAAAUAUACACAUCUUCUGUUGAUGCACUCAUAUUCUCACUUUCCAAAAUUUGUUAAAGUUGUACAACCAGUUCCAUUUCAGCUAUCACUUGGAAACAUAUGUAGUAUCAUUUGACACUUGACAGUACUCUCUUCUUUGAUGUCUAAAAUUUGUUUACUUAUGAUGCUUGGGAAAACUCGGUAGCUGAAGCUUUAGCUUAAAUUGGAAAUAUGAGUUUAAGCCGUGGAAGC
rnacentral:misc_RNA from 1 species